rnacentral:rRNA from 1 species
GACGGUUUUCGACGACCACGUUCGGAUAUUGGGCGUAAGAGCUCGUAGGCGGUUUGUCGCGUCUGCUGUGAAAGACCGGGGCUCAACUCCGGUUCUGCAGUGGGUACGGGCAGACUAGAGUGCAGUAGGGGAGACUGGAAUUCCUGGUGUAGCGGUGAAAUGCGCAGAUAUCAGGAGGAACACCGAUGGCGAAGGCAGGUCUCUGGGCUGUAACUGACGCUGAGGAGCGAAAGCAUGGGGAGCGAACAGGAUUAGAUACCCUGGUAGUCCAUGCCGUAAACGUUGGGCACUAGGUGUGGGGGACAUUCCACGUUUUCCGCGCCGUAGCUAACGCAUUAAGUGCCCCGCCUGGGGAGUACGGCCGCAAGGCUAAAACUCAAAGGAAUUGACGGGGGCCCGCACAAGCGGCGGAGCAUGCGGAUUAAUUCGAUGCAACGCGAAGAACCUUACCAAGGCUUGACAUGAACCGGUAAUACCUGGAAACAGGUGCCCCGCUUGCGGUCGGUUUACAGGUGGUGCAUGGUUGUCGUCAGCUCGUGUCGUGAGAUGUUGGGUUAAGUCCCGCAACGAGCGCAACCCUCGUUCUAUGUUGCCAGCGGUUCGGCCGGGGACUCAUAGGAGACUGCCGGGGUCAACUCGGAGGAAGGUGGGGACGACGUCAAAUCAUCAUGCCCCUUAUGUCUUGGGCUUCACGCAUGCUACAAUGGCCGGUACAAAGGGUUGCGAUACUGUGAGGUGGAGCUAAUCCCAAAAAGCCGGUCUCAGUUCGGAUUGGGGGUCUGCAACUCGACCCCAUGAAGUCGGAGUCGCUAGUAAUCGCAGAUCAGCAACGCUGCGGUGAAUACGUUCCCGGGCCUUGUACACACCGCCCGUCAAGUCACGAAAGUUGGUAACACCCGAAGCCGGUGGCCUAACCCUUGUGGGGGGAGCCGUCGAAGGUGGGACCGGCGAUUGGGACUAAGUCGUACCAAGGUAAGCC